rnacentral:rRNA from 1 species
UACAGGGGGGCAAGCGUUGUUCGGAAUUACUGGGCGUAAAGGGCUCGUAGGCGGCCAACUAAGUCCGACGUGAAAUCCCAAAGCUUAACUUUGGAACUGCGUCGGAUACUGGAUGGCUUGAAUUCGGGAGAGGGAUGCAGAAUUCCAGGUGUAGCGGUGAAAUGCGUAGAUAUCUGGAGGAAUACCGGUGGCGAAGGCGGCAUCCUGGACCGACAUUGACGCUGAGGAGCGAAAGCUAGGGGAGCAAACGGG